GGGCGCAUGGUGUAGUUGGUUAUCACAUCCGCUUAGCACUGUAGUCGCUUGCGGGGGGUGCCGAGUUCAAUUCUCGGUGUGUCCA